rnacentral:tRNA from 1 species
GUCUUGGUAGCUCAGUGGUUACAGUGCUGACAUGGUAUGCCAGAGGCCUUGGGUUCGAACCCGAGUUGAGACA